GACGAACGCUGGCGGCGUGCUUAACACAUGCAAGUCGAACGGAAAGGCCCCUUUGGGGGUACUCGAGUGGCGAACGGGUGAGUAACACGUGAGUAACCUUCCCUUGACUUCGGGAUAACUUCAGGAAACUGGGGCUAAUACCGGAUAGGAAUCCUUGCUGCAUGGUGGGGGUUGGAAAGCUUCGGCGGUUUUGGAUGGACUCGCGGCUUAUCAGCUUGUUGGUGUGGUAGUGGCUUACCAAGGCUUUGACGGGUAGCCGGCCUGAGAGGGCGACCGGCCACAUUGGGACUGAGAUACGGCCCAGACUCCUACGGGAGGCAGCAGUGGGGAAUAUUGCACAAUGGGCGGAAGCCUGAUGCAGCACCGCCGCGUGCGGGAUGACGGCCUUCGGGUUGUAAACCGCUUUCAGCAGGGGCGAAGCUUGUGGUGACGGUACCUGCAGAAGAAGCACCGGCUAACUACGUG
rnacentral:rRNA from 1 species